UGAACUUUAGCUCAAGGGUUCCAAAAGUCUA
rnacentral:piRNA from 1 species